AUUGAACGCUGGCGGCAUGCUUUACACAUGCAAGUCGAACGGCAGCGCGGGCUUCGGCCUGGCGGCGAGUGGCGAACGGGUGAGUAAUACAUCGGAACGUGCCCAGUAGUGGGGGAUAGCUCGGCGAAAGCCGGAUUAAUACCGCAUACGACCUGAGGGUGAAAGCGGGGGAUCUUCGGACCUCGCGCUAUUGGAGCGGCCGAUGGCAGAUUAGCUAGUUGGUGGGGUAAAGGCCUACCAAGGCGACGAUCUGCAGCUGGUCUGAGAGGACGACCAGCCACACUGGGACUGAGACACGGCCCAGACUCCUACGGGAGGCAGCAGUGGGGAAUUUUGGACAAUGGGCGAAAGCAUGAUCCAGCAAUGCCGCGUGUGUGAUGAAGGCCUUCGGGUUGUAAAGCACUUUUGGCGGGAACGAAAAGGACUGUGCCAAUACCACGGUUCGAUGACGGUACCCGCAGAAUAAGCACCGGCUAACUACGUG
rnacentral:rRNA from 1 species